GUCUCAUGUGAAUAUUGGUUGCCAUGGUAAUAGGUGGGAAUGCAUGAAAAAACAAAAAAAAAACUAGGGUAUACACUAUUUAUAUAACUGCCCUUGUCUUCAUUUACCUUUUACCAUGGCAGAUGAGUAGAAGUGCUCUGAGAUGGGAAAUGAGACUCACAUUACUUACUAUACAAAUUAAGUAAGCUUAGAAACUAUGAUUGUGGGGUGUCACAUUACUUAGUAUACAAAUUUAGUAGAUUUAGCAAUUAUCAUUGUGGGGUCUAGAUGUCCAAUAAACAAUGACAAGUCGUCUCCAAUUAGAUGUAGCAAACAAGGUAAAAAGGAAUAUGCUAAACAAACACUUGAGUCCAAAAACAAGGAAAGUGACAUGUUAGCUGAUCCGCCUAAAUGUUUUUUUUUUUUUUUUCUGGGAAGUCUUUUGGUAAUUGUGGUUUAGACUUCUUUUUUUUUUUCGUUUUGGUCAUAGUGGUUUAGACUUUGAGGACUACGAAGUCUUAAAAAAAAAAGAAACAUUAUUGCGUUCAGUGUGUAUUGUUUAAAAUUAGUGUCUUCCUCAAGACCAAAAGUAAAUAAAAUUAGUGCCUUUUUUCCACACCAAAAAUAAAAAUUAGUUUUUUUUCUACACCAAAAGAAAAAAAAAAUUAGUGUAUUUUCAACGAGACUAGUUCCUUGUUUGGUCUGACAAAGACUUGGGAAAAAUAAUAGAAUGAUAGAAUGUGCAAGUGGCUGAACGGAGUGGCAAUAAAAAACGUACCAAAAGACCAAAAAUACUCAUAAUUCCCUCUUUGAAUUUUGAUUGACAAUUUGACACAGCCAAUAAAACCCCUCAAAAAACCAAAAAUCCCAACUUCCAAGAUUUUUUUUAGCGGAAACAGAGCAAGGCACACAGAGAUUUCUGAGAAAGGAAAGCAAAGACCAAAGAAGCCAUUGGAUUUGAAGAUUGAGCCAAGAAAGGUUUUGGGUUACGUCUGGUUUGGCGCUUUCUUCGCCCCAAUGCCCUCAACCUUAACCAAACAACUGGACGAAAUCUCUCUCUCUCUUCGAAAAAAUAACUUACCUUCUCUCCAUUUUACUACUUUCUCUCUCUUCCCUUUAUUUAUCUUCUCUUUUAUUCUAACUUUGAGUGGCUUUCUGGUAGCCCAAAACGAAACAAAAACAGAUACACAAAAAUUUUCCUCCGUUUCCCGGCGACCCACAUCGGAAGUUCACAUCUUUGCUCCGACCCAGAUCGAAUCCGGACCCGAAUACCAAGCCACCAACCCCGCAUUGACAAUUGCGAUGAACCCACAAUAGAAAUGCAUGUGGGUCAUUAAGCGUGUCAGUUGUCAAUGAUAAAAGUUGGAGGAAGUGGUUGAAAUGUAAAGCCGGAUUCGGGUGCGGAUACGGGUUUGUUUUCAGAUUCAUGGGGAUUUGUUUCAGUUCUGAAAAGCAGCAGCAUUCCAAUUGUAAUCAGACGAGCCCACCAGGUAUUAUAUCAUGUAUGAAUAUAUUUUGCCUCACAUUUAAUUAUGCAUUAAUUUCCUAUCAAAUAAAUGAUUAAAAUGGGUAAUCAUUAAUCUGUAUCUAAUGUUUCUUAUUAGCUUUGAAUGCAUUUGGAGUUUUGGGACCUUUUAUUUCGAUUAAUAAAAUUUGUGAUCUUAUGUUGGUUUCCUUCCAAAUGUAUGAUCACAAUGGAAAUUAUGCGCAGUUAUGGGGGAAGGGAAAAAAUUGGGUGUUCUUGCAUCAUAUCUUCUGAAAAAUCAAAGUUGUCAGUUUUUACCUUUUGUCAUUUGUCACAUUUUCUAACCAGGUGACUGGAUUUGAAGCAUUUAUUGGAGUUUGUAUAUGUGAGUAAAUGUGUGCCACACAUAGUUUUUUUUUUUGGUGGACAUCUUUGAUGUUGGAGUACAUUUUAUUUUUUUCUUAGUGGUGUGCUUCCGAAGGCAUUAAGUUUUGAUACAUGAAAUUAGCAGGUUGUUGAAUUUCUUUUGUACUUCUUAAAUAUAGUUCUGAUAAAUGUGAAUGUUUAUGACAGUUAUUUUAUAGCAUUCUAUGAAUUUAUUGCGGCCAAUAUGUUUCUGUUCUUCAGUUUCGAUAUUUUCAACUUUUUAAAUGGUGUGUUGUGGUUGCUGAAUACCGGUUAUUAUAAUGAAUUUUCAUGAGAGUAUUGUUGAGAAGCAACCAGCAAGAAACAUAUUCUUUCUAUGGUAGGCUAGUGGCUAAUUUUAAAAAUUAGUGAUGGGAGCAUUUUUGGAAGUAAUGGUUAACUGAUAACAUAACUUCUCUCUUUUUCUUGUGAAAAAAUUUAAAUGCAGUAGGACAUGGCUCUGCUGCAUGUCCAACUCCCGAUAAAAGUGCAAUCAACACUCCUUUGGCUUCCAAGAAUGUCAAGGACCUACGGCAAAGUCCCGGAUAUAUCAAUGUCAGCAUCUUUACUUACGAUGAGAUGAGUUUGGCCACAAAACGUUUCCGGCCAGAGCUAAUUCUUGGUGAGGGUGGGUUCGGUGUUGUAUAUAAAGGAGUUGUUGAUGACACCGUGAGGACAGGUUACAAGACCACACAAGUUGCCAUCAAGGAGCUUAAUCGAGAAGGGUACCAAGGUGAUAGGGAAUGGCUGGUAUUUGACUUAUCUUUCCCUUUUAUCUUAUUUAUUUUCUUAGAAAUGAGGCUUUACUAUAUUCAAUUUGUAUACUUUACUCCAUUCUGAUAAAGAAGAUAAAUUGUUGUAAUCAGAACAUAGUAGAGGGAGGUUCUAGUGCCGAUUCUGCCCAAUGUUGAUGCUGACAGAAUGGUCUGUUAGAUUGAAAGCUUUGGUAAAUCCAUUCCAUAUUUUAUGUUCUCUUGCUGUGCAAGACAGUUUUUUAUACUGUUCUUGACUUAUGAAGAAGCUCCAUCAGAAAUAGCUUAACUAUCUCUCAACUGUUGAUGCCCUUGGAAAGUAAUGAGGGCUAUCUUGUUACGGACCGUAGCAUUCAUACAAGUUGUAUUGCAAAUAGACAUUUCCCCAAGCUGUCCCUUUUUUCUUUCCUUGUCUCCUUUUAUGGUCAUGGUAGGAUAAUGCAUACACUAGUGUUCUAGUAGCUUUUAGAAUUAGUUAUUCGUUAACAUUCCUUUUGGAGACAUCAAAAAUGGAAUGCAUGUAUUCAGUGCAACAUGUUUUUCAGUGGUGAUUAGGGGAAAAAUUAAAUGAUAGAUUUCUUAAUCGAAUUUAUUCCAGCAUCGUUUAGAAUCCAUUAUUCAUUAAAAUUCCUUUUGGAGACAUCAAAAGCCAACGGCAUAUGUGUGUGGUGCAACAUUUUUAUAAUGAAUAGUGUAUUGGUAAUUAGGAGCCAAAAUCAAAGAACAGAUUUGAAGUACGAAGUUGAUUUUUAAUUUCCUAUAUCAAGGAUCUUCUGGAAGAGAAACAAAAUUGGAAAAUCAUGGCCUAUGGGAUUUAGAAAUGAAUACUGUAACUUCUGUUUUAGCAAUGAUAAAUUGAUAACUGACAUGGACAGUAAGACAUUGAUCUAACAUGUAUGAUAGAUGGUGUUUCUUGCUUAAACAGGUAGUUGUCUCUCAACAAUUCCUAGUUCACCAAACUGGAAAACCAUGUCCAAUCGGUGGCAUUUGGCAUAAUUUAUCAUCAGAUUACUUUGUUUUUCUUUUUAAUUUGCUAAUAAACUAAGCCUUCUUCCGGGGUGUUUGCAUGUAUAGUGGAGAUUAAUUUGUAUCCUUCUGUCAUGCAUUAUUUUUCUUGCAGGCAGAAGUUAACUAUCUAGGUCAGCUUAGUCACCCUAAUCUUGUGAAGCUGAUUGGCUACUGCUGUGAGGAUGAGCACCGGCUACUGGUCUAUGAAUACAUGGCAAGUGGCAGCCUGGAAAAACAUCUAUUUCGCAGUAAGUGUUUUAUGCCAUCAGAAAUAUAUGGGAUUUUGAGAAAAUGAUGUUUUAGGUGAAGCCAAUUUAUAGGACUUUUAGAUUAAUGCCAUUUAUUGCAAUAAUGGAUGAUGGAGUCAAAGUAUCACGAGUUCUAUUUUUAUUGUUUAUCAUCCCCUUGCACUUUUAAUCUCAAGAAUGUUAAAAGCCAUUCAUCUAGCUUGACUUUGAUUGUUAUAUACAGUCCAGAGCAAAAUUUUCUUUUUCUUUUUAUUUUUCUCCCAAGAUUUUCUUAGCUAUGUAUAGGGUUUGAAGGCUUUUCAAGUUCUUAUGAAAACUGUCUUUCUAAUAAUAAACAAGAAGGUGGUCAAGUGAAGGUGAAAUAAAGUACUCAAUUAUGCAUGUGAUUUUACUUAUUUUUGGAUGCAUGUGAUUUUACUUAUUUUUGGACAAAUGUACAAGUAAACUGCAUUUAUCAGUGUAAAAAUGUGUUACAGUUUAGAAUACUUAGAAACUUAACACUUGUGUGUGGAAAUUUGACUUUUAUUAGAUACGAACAAGCAUUUCUUCUAGUUGUUCAUCUUAAUCAUCUGAAAUGUUAUGGACCAUUGUUUAUAUAAAAUAUAUGCCUGCAGGAAGUGUACAUGUAGACUGUAUGCAGAUAUUAAACUUCCCCAAACUGCAUAUUGAUCCACCAACAGUCUAUUGCAACAACAGUCAAUUGAGUGUUCUGGUGGAUACUUUUGACACAUCAAAAACAUUGUGCCCCGUUUGGUUAACACCGUAAUCAUUUCUUUUAUUUUGGGUGGUAGGAGUGGGCUGUACGCUUACAUGGUCAAGAAGAAUGAAGAUUGCUUUAGAUGCUGCAAAAGGGCUUGCUUUUCUUCAUGGUGCAGAGCGACCAAUCAUUUACCGUGACUUUAAGACAUCAAAUAUUUUGUUGGAUGGGGUUAGUUGUCUUCUUUUUGUUAUCUUUUAUAUUGCACUUAUUACCAUUGAGCAUCUUAUUGGAGGUGCUGUCAGAAAAAAAAAAAAAUUUUCAAAUAUUUCAGAAGUCUAAUUUCACAAAUGAAACCCAAACCAGAAGAUGAAGUGCACACAAAUGCUUCUUGUCAUGAUUCUUUGUCCAUUUCUGGACAAAUAUUGGUAUUUUUUUAAUGAAAUUUGUAUGUUCUGGCAUAUGAGUGAUUACUUCUGGGGAAGUUAGGUUGGUUUAUGUUGCUGAAAAUCAAACGAUAACAUGCAGGAUUUUAAUGCAAAACUUUCGGACUUCGGCCUUGCAAAGGAAGGGCCUAUGGGAGACCAAACCCAUGUUUCAACAAGAGUGAUGGGCACAUAUGGAUAUGCUGCACCUGAGUAUGUAAUGACUGGUGAGUUGUUUCAUAACUAUGUCGCCGAGUCAUAUCAUAAAACAUUAUGCUUUUUCUUUUUCCUCGAUACAGAUUGACAAAUGCUUUCUGUUGCCAAGCGAAGAGAUUAUUUUGAUGUUUAUUAAUCAUAUAUCAACUUGGUUUUUCAAUAGCAGUGCACCUAAAGUAAUUUUGUAUAAUUCCUUUCUCAUUAUUGGCAAUGUUUACAUCAUAGAUUGGUAGGUUAGACCUUAGUAAUCCAUCACUGAGUAUUAAGUUGAUCCAAACAGGGCAUCUAACUGCUCGAAGUGAUGUUUAUGGAUUUGGAGUGGUGCUACUUGAGCUGCUCAUUGGACGAAGAGCAAUGGAUAAGAGCAGGCCCAGCCGAGAACACAACCUGGUUGAGUGGGCUCGUCCACUCUUGAACCACAAUAAGAAGCUUCUGAGGAUUGUAGACCCUAGGUUGGAAGGGCAGUACUCAUUUAAAACUGCAAUGAAGGUGGCCCAGUUGGCAUAUCAAUGCCUUAGCCAAAACCCAAAAGGGAGGCCCCUUAUGAGCCAGGUGGUUGACAUCCUCGAGACUCUUCAGUCAUCAGGAAACCACGAACUUCAAAGCGGAGAUGGUGCUGUAACUCUUUAUGAGGCUCCCAAGGGAACAAUUGGAAGUCCUGCUAAGAAGAGAAGCCAGAACAGAAGAGACGGUGAAAGGGGAGGAGAGGCGCAUAGCAAUCCGGGAAAUGGAAGGAGCAAGAGUGAGCCUAUGAAUGAUUUCGAUCGUAAUAACUUGUCUCCAAAUUUUGUGUCGCAUGAAAAGUAGCUUUUAAACUUGUAAACCAGAUAAUGGAUGGAGGUUGAAAAUGUACAAGAUAAUAUCAACUGGUCUAUCCAUUUAGUGUUUUUGAGUUAAAUUCAUGUUCCCUCUGGGCCAAAUUUGUGAUAUAUAAUUUGUAAUUCAUUUUCUAAAACUAUUGUAUGCGCUACCUUGUACGUUGUGAUUUUGGUAUAGCAUCUGAAGAAAGGCCUUCAGCAUUCUCCUCUCAUUCUAAAAUAUUUUUUUUUAGUUUGUUUUGUCAUUAAAAUUCAGGACAGAACGAUAGUCCCUUACCCUACAGUGUGUGGCAAAAUAUUCCAUCGCUUUUUAUUCUGGUCAACAAAAAUUCUAGCACUUCCUUUUUUAUACAAACGAGAUCUUACUUUAAUCAAAUUUAAAUUAUAAGGAGGGAUUUAAAUUCGAGUGCAAAGUGGGGAGUACAUCUAUUCUAGUCAAUUUGGUUGGCUAAGCCCAUGUAUGCAAACAUUCUGCAACUUGAGUUAUGCUUUUCCACCUCUUAAACCUUUUCUUAUAUAUAAGAUAAUAAUAAUUACUAAGAGUUAUCACCCAAAGCCCGUAAGGAAAUUAUGCUUAAAAAAAUAGAAAUGGGCAAUCAUUUCCAUAAAUUAAAGGACAAACUAUAUAAAACCCCUCAAACUAUAGGGUCAUUUUCAAAUUCAUAUCCAAUUUUAGAGAUAUUUACGAGUACAUGCUCAGACUCCCUAAAAUCCUACAAAUUACCUCAUCCGUUAGCCAAAUCCUUAAUUAAUAUGUUAAAUGCUGACGUGGCAUUUGUGGAAUCUUUUUUUUUUAAUUGACGCUGGGUUCCACGUGAAUAAAAAACUAAUAAAAAAAUUAUUUUUUAAAUUAUUUUAAUAAAUUAAACAUAUUAAAUUAAAAAUUAAAAAUAAAAAAUAAAAACCUCACCCAAAUUCUCUCUCUCCCGAUUUCUUCCCCCACCACCCAGAUUUCGUCGGCUUGGUUCAAUGAAGCAAUUGAAGGAUUCAUAGGGGUCUUCCAUGUUGCUCACCCCAUGCCUAUCAAAGAACUUGAUGAAGAAGCAGUGACCAAAAAAGCUGUCCAAGGAGCCCUGGGCAUAUUGAAAGCCUGCCUAAAUUCCAAGACUGUGAAGAGGGUUGUGUACACUUCUAGUGCAUCAACUGUGGCUUACAGUGGCAGCAGCCAAGACUUGGUGGAUGAGAGCUCAUGGAGUGAUAUUGAAUUUCAUAGGUCUCUUAAAAUAUUUGGAACUUCAUAUGUUGCUGCCAAGACCAAAACAGAGCAAGCUAUCCUGGAAUUUGCAGAAAUUGGGUGGAGGAAGAAAUCUGGGGGGGAGGGAAGAAAUUGGGAGGAAGGGAGAAUCUGGGUAGGGUUUUUAUUUUAUUUCUUAAUUUUUAAUUUAAUAUGUUUAAUUUUUUAUAAUAAUUUAAAAAUACAAUUUUUAUUAGUUUUUUAUUCACGUGAAACCUCACGUCAAUUAAAAAAUAGAUCCUACAAAUAUCCCAUCAGUAUUUAGCAGAUUAACUAACAAUUUGGCUAACAGAGAGCGUAAAUUGUAAGGUUUCUGGAAGUUUGAACAUAUACUCAUAAAUGUCUCUAAAAUUAGGUGUGAACUUAAAAAUAACCUUAUAAUUUGGAGGUUAUAUGUAAUUUGUCCUUCGGCAAGCAAAUGGGUAACUUAUUAAAUAAAUAAUGUUCAAUUUCUUCACAAAGUUUUAAUAUUUGAAGUUUGUUCUUACUCUUUGAUAUUUUUAAAUUGAAUGACUCUCUUUUUUUAUGAUAUAUUAAAGACCUUUCCAAAAAAAAAAAUUGAUUUAUUAACUUCUAGUACAUAAGUUUUUC
rnacentral:lncRNA from 1 species